AGCGGUUUUGUAAACCGAAGGUCACGGGUUCAAGUCCUGUAGCCGGCA
rnacentral:tRNA from 1 species